UACGUAGGGUGCGAGCGUUAAUCGGAAUUACUGGGCGUAAAGCGUGCGCAGGCGGCGCGUUAAGACAGGUGUGAAAGCCCCGAGCUUAACUUGGGAAUUGCGCUUGUGACUGGCGUGCUGGAGUGUGGCAGAGGGAGGUGGAAUUCCACGUGUAGCAGUGAAAUGCGUAGAGAUGUGGAGGAACACCAGAGGCGAAGGCGGCCUACUGGGCUGCACCUGACGCUGAGCCGCGAAAGCCAGGGGAGCGAACGGG
rnacentral:rRNA from 1 species